GGUGACGUGUCCGAGCGGCCGAAGGAGCUCGCCUCGAAAGCGAGUGAGGAGCAAUCCUCCGAGGGUUCAAAUCCCUCCGUCACCGCCA
rnacentral:tRNA from 1 species